rnacentral:rRNA from 1 species
UACGUAGGGCGCGAGCGUUGUCCGGAAUUAUUGGGCGUAAAGAGCUUGUAGGCGGUUUGUCGCGUCUGCUGUGAAAGCCCGGGGCUUAACCCCGGGUUUGCAGUGGGUACGGGCAGACUAGAGUGCAGUAGGGGAGACUGGAAUUCCUGGUGUAUCGGUGAAAUGCGCAGAUAUCAGGAGGAACACCAAUGGCGAAGGCAGGUCUCUGGGCUGUAACUGACGCUGAGAAGCGAAAGCAUGGGGAGCAAACAGG